CAAAAAGGGAAGCUAAGCGCAUCCGGCUGUGAUUUCACGCUACUCAAUUGUCAUAUUUGCAGGAGAAUAGAUUCGGUGAAGUCUGCUGUUAAGUUACUGGACGCGUGGUAUUUGCACAACACUUUUGAGUCCGCAGCUUCGGUGUUUUAAGGCUGUUUCGAUAUGGAGAAGAAGUGGGAAGAGAUUUACG